AAUGUUCAUCGAAAUCAAAAACCGAUACACAGAAUUAUGUAUCUUAGUGUAGUGUACUUGUUUGCCAAGUUAUAUUGAAAUCAGACCAAAACUGUAAGAGGAGUAGCAUUUUGAAAGUAUUUCAUAGAAAUUUCUAUUUUUAGUAACCAUGGCAACACCGUUCAUCGAAAUCAGAAACCGAUACACAGAAUUAUGCAUCUUAGUAUAGUCUACUUGUGUGCCAAAUUAUAUUGAAAUCAGAUCAAAACUGUAGGAGGAGUAGCAUUUUGAAUGUUUUUCACAGAAAUUUCUAUUUUUAUAACCAUGGCAACACCGUUCAUCGAAAUCAAAAACCGAUACACAGAAUUAUGCAUCUUGGUGUAGUCUACUUGUGUGCCAAAUUAUAUUGAAAUCAGACCAAAACUGUAGGAGGAGUAGCAUUUUGAAAGUAUUUCACAGAAAUUUCUAUUUUUAGUAACCAUGGCAACACCGUUCAUCGAAAUCAGAAACCGAUACACAGAAUUAUGCAUCUUAGUAUAGUCUACUUGUGUGCCAAAUUAUAUUGAAAUCAGAUCAAAACUGUAGGAGGAGUAGCAUUUUGAAUGUUUUUCACAGAAAUUUCUAUUUUUAUAACCAUGGCAACACCGUUCAUCGAAAUCAAAAACCGAUACACAGAAUUAUGUAUCUUGGUGUAGUCUACUUGUGUGCCAAGUUAUAUUGAAAUCAGACCAAAACUGUAGGAGGAGUAGCAUUUUGAAAAAUUGUUUACAGACGGACAGACAGACAGACAGACGGACGGACGACGGACACAUUACUAUCGCAUAAGCUCUUCUGGUCUCUGACCAGUAGAGCUAAAAA